rnacentral:rRNA from 1 species
UACGGAGGGUGCGAGCGUUGUCCGGAAUCACUGGGCGUAAAGGGCGCGUAGGUGGCGACUCAAGUCAACGGUGAAAGCUCGACGCUCAACGUCGAGUCGGCCGUCGAAACUGGGACGCUUGAGCACUGUAGAGGCAGAUGGAAUUCCGGGUGUAGCGGUGGAAUGCGUAGAGAUCCGGAAGAACACCGGGUGGCGAAGGCGGUCUGCUGGGCAGUUGCUGACACUGAUGCGCG